CAUGCCCCAGUAUCACUUAAACUUAAAUCACCGCUUUUCCGUCCCACGUCCCCGAAAUGGAGACUUAACGAAUACUUACUCUCCAAACUGGAGGUCGCGGCCCUCAUAGGCGAGAAAAUCAGGGAAUACCUAAUAACUAACUACAGUAAAUCAUUCAUCCUCAACGUUAGCAUGCCUACCGCACGAGCGGAUCCCCAAACUAUGGAAGACGGUGGAGGAG